UGGGGAAUUUUGGACAAUGGGCGCAAGCCUGAUCCAGCAAUGCCGCGUGCAGGAUGAAGGCCUUCGGGUUGUAAACUGCUUUUGUACGGAACGAAACGGCUCUGUCUAAUACAUGGGGCUAAUGACGGUACCGUAAGAAUAAGCACCGGCUAACUACGUGCCAGCAGCCGCGGUAAUACGUAGGGUGCAAGCGUUAAUCGGAAUUACUGGGCGUAAAGCGUGCGCAGGCGGUGAUGUAAGACAGGUGUGAAAUCCCCGGGCUUAACCUGGGAAUUGCAUUUGUGACUGCAUCGCUGGAGUGCGGCAGAGGGGGAUGGAAUUCCGCGUGUAGCAGUGAAAUGCGUAGAUAUCGAGAGGAACACCGGUGGCGAAAGCGGCUACCUGGACGAGGACUGACGCUGAGAUGCGAAAGCGUGGGGAGCAAACA
rnacentral:rRNA from 1 species